CGAACGGGUGAGUAACACGUGAGCAACCUGCCCCGAAGACCGGGAUAACAGUGGGAAACCGCUGCUAAUACCGGAUGUCCCCACCGAGCCUCCUGGCUUGACGAGGAAAUGGAUUCCGCUUCGGGAGGGGCUCGCGGCCUAUCAGCUAGUUGGUGGGGUAACGGCCUACCAAGGCGUCGACGGGUAGCUGGUCUGAGAGGACGAUCAGCCACACUGGGACUGAGACACGGCCCAG
rnacentral:rRNA from 1 species